AGCGAACGCUGGCGGCAGGCCUAACACAUGCAAGUCGAACGAACUCUUCGGAGUUAGUGGCGGACGGGUGAGUAACACGUUGGAACGUGCCUUUUGGUUCGGAAUAACUCAGGGAAACUUGUGCUAAUACCGAAUGUGCUCUUCGGGGGAAAGAUUUAUCGCCAUUAGAGCGGCCUGCGUCUGAUUAGCUAGUUGGUGAGGUAACGGCUCACCAAGGGGAGGAUCAGUAGCUGGUCUGAGAGGAUGACCAGCCACACUGGUACUGAGACACGGCCCAGACUCCUACGGGAGGCAGCAGUGGGGAAUCUUGCGCAAUGGGCGAAAGGCUGACGCAGCCAUGCCGCGUGAAUGAUGAAGGUCUUAGGAUUGUAAAAUUCUUUCACCGGGGGCGAUAAUGACGGUACUCGGAGAAGAAGCCCCGGCUAACUUCGUG
rnacentral:rRNA from 1 species